rnacentral:rRNA from 1 species
CUUGCUUUCUUUUGCUGGCGACCGGCGCACGGGUGAGUAACACGUAUCCAACCUGCCCUUUACUCGGGGAUAGCCUUUCGAAAGAAAGAUUAAUACCCGAUAGUAUAACGAUUCCGCAUGGUUUCAUUAUUAAAGGAUUCCGGUAAAGGAUGGGGAUGCGUCCCAUUAGGUUGUUGGUGAGGUAACGGCUCACCAAGCCUUCGAUGGAUAGGGGUUCUGAGAGGAAGGUCCCCCACAUUGGAACUGAGACACGGUCCAA